rnacentral:tRNA from 1 species
GCAUCGGUAGCUCCAAUGGGUAGAGCGCUGGAUUGAAGGUCCGGGCGAUCCUGGUUCGAAUCCAGGCCGAUGCACCA